GUGACAUUGACAUUUGAUAGACGUCAAGUUUUAUUUUUGUUUGUAUAAAAAUAGAAAUGGAAUAUUUAUAUUGUUUGUAUGUUAUUAUUAUUUAAUUUCUACAAAAUGGUAAUGUGUUAAGUACCCGAAUGGUUAUCAUUGAUAUUGAAAUCUGCAGAACGGAGUAAAACUACUCAUUUAUGUUCCUGGUUCCUGCUACUUUUAUAAAGGAGAUAAAGAAAAUCUUCUCACCAUAUUUUCAAAUAGGACUGGUGAAGAUGCUGAAGAAAUGCAGUAGUACUAUCUUGUGUGUAAAUCCUUGAUUUUGUGUAAUUUAUAAAAUUGAAAGCAAUAUGAUAAAUAUGACUAAUAAGGAUUGUUUCUUUAUAAAAAAAUAUAUCACAGUAUGCAAACUACAAGUACGAGCAUUAAAUCUCAGAAAUGUUUACCACUGUUUUUUUUUUGGUUUUAUUCCAUGGAUUUAAUGGAUUGUACAUGUAGACCCUCUACAUCUUCAUUACCACUUGAAAGUCAACCAGAAUCGUCUCAUUCAAGUGGUAUCACAUCAAGUAGUGCACAACAAGACACAGAAAUGUAUUUUCUUAAAUAAGAGAAUACUCAGCUGAAACUAAAAUUAGAUAAUUUGGCAAAUAUAGAUUUCCAUCACAGCAUAUCAAGAACGAUCACAAUUUAGUGAAAGUGUACAUGGGAAUAACAACUACUGUAUAUUGAAAUAUUGUUUAAUAUUUAAUAUGCUAAGUAAUAUUCAGUUAGAAUAUUAUCAUGGAUCAUGGAUGGGUGAAAUAUCACAGUUUUAACAAAAAAAGGAAUGUGUUGUA